UGCUCAUCUUACGGCUGACCUCUCUGGGCUGGAGGAGAUGCAAUCUGUCAGCUGAACGUGAGCCCUUUAGCUUCAUGGAUUUUUCUGCAUCUGACACAAUCUGGACUUGCCUCAGAAUCAUCUGAAGGGAGUGCAGACCUCCCCCUCUCUGAAGAGACAGACAGUGCUCAUUGUCCACAGGGAAAAUACUUCUCCCACCAGCUUUGUUUGGAGUGUCCCUCUGGUCAUUUUUGUACUGGCAAUGUAUCUGCACCUCAUAGAUGUCCAGCAGGAACAUUCAACCUCUACACAGGGAAAAGUAGUAUCAGUGACUGCAAGCCUUGUUUUCCAGGUCUGAUCAGUGCAGUGGACAAAGUGGACUGUAGGCUGUGUCCAGCAGGUUUCUCAUGCGAUCCAGCCAAUGGGACUCUCUCUUUAUGCCCCCCAGGACAGCAUUCCCCAGAGGGGGUCCUACAGUGUCUGACAUGCCCUGUAGAUUCCAUCUGCACA